rnacentral:rRNA from 1 species
AGUGAACGCUGGCGGUAGGCCUAACACAUGCAAGUCGAACGGCAGCACCGUAAGAGCUUGCUCGUACGGGUGGCGAGUGGCGGACGUGUGAAGCCUACCUCGGAAUCUACUUUUUCGUGGGGGAUCACGUAGGGAAACUUACUCUACUCCCGCAUACGACCUACCGUUGAAAGCAGGGGAUCUUCGGCCCUUGCGCGAUUGUAUGAGCCGAUGUCGGAUUAGCUAGUUGGCGGGGUAAAGGCCCACCAAGGCGACGAUCCGUAGCUGGUCUGAGCGGAUGACCGGAGACACUGGGACUGGAAGACGGGCCAGACGCCUACGGGGGGCAGGCGUGGGGAAUUAUGGGCAAUGGGCGCAAGCAUGAUCCCGCCAUACCGGGUGGGUUGAGGAGGCCUUCGGGUUGGUAAGAUCUUUUGUUGGGGAAGAAAAGCCGCAGGUUAAGAGCACGCUGUUCUGACGGUACCCAAAGAAUAAGCACCGGCUAACUUCGUG